AUGAUGCGUGAGGUCUGUGGCCUUGGUGGGUUAGAUGCCUGGCUGUCUCCUUGUGGCCUGGAGUGCUGCUGUGGCCCAGAUUUGUUCCCUGAGGUCGAGGUGCUAGAAGGUCCUCUCUGUCUUGGAAAGUCUGAACUGCAUCCCUUGUAUGAGGGGAGAUGCCAGUUCCUGCUUCUCUCCACCUCUGCCCCCCCCAUCCCUCUCUUCCUCCCUUCUGUUCUUCUUUGCCUUCCUUCCAUCUCCAGAUCUCCUCACCCUUGUGACCACACAUCCUCUGGUCACUCCCCAUGUGCAGCGCCUGUUCCUUUGUGUGCAGCUAUGACAUCCCAGUUGGCCCCUUCUUCAUCGUUAUUGGUGAUGCCAACCAUCUGGGAGUGGCUCAGGUCAAACCUGGUCAGGAAGCCGGCCUAUUCCCCAGGCGAGAAUCUCCUCCACCUUAUUUUGCUCAUGAGGGUAAGCAGUGGGAAUAUUGUGUUGCCUCUUGGCCAAGGGGCAGCAGGGAGGCAGUGCACCCAGGGUCUGCGUGCAGUGGCCAUGGCAUUGCAGUGUGGUGAUUCCCAGGACGGGGUGUUGUGCGGGAGGAACAGUGUCGGGGUGCUUAGCCCUGUCGUCUUCCCCACCUGGAAUGUUGCUUUUGGGUGCUGUCUCUUGGAGCUUGGAGGUCCAGGUUGUGUUUGCACCAGGGAGGCUGUCCCUAGAACCCUCGCCCAUCUCUGCCAUGAUUCUUACUGCAGCUCCUGGCCCUUUUUUUCUGGCCGACAAAGGACCGAGAAAGUGGCCAUGAAGCAGUUGUUUCCACCCUGUAAGCAGGAGCCUCCUAUCCUGGCCUCUGGCCUGUGUUCUGGCCACCCUCACUUCGCCUGUUUCCUCCAGAGGAGCCGUAUCUCCUGCUGCCUCCGUUCUGCUAAAUGCAGUCCCAUCUGCCUGCCUUCUGCCCCCGUCCUACCUCUGCUGAGACCAGCUGUGCUAGGCCAUUCCGUCAUCGGGAAGCCAGCCCAGUUGGCUCCCCUCUGUGCUGUCGUGUUCCCCUCUGCCUGCAUCCAUCGAAGCAUUACCAUCUUGUAUGGUGCCCAGCUGUUGACACGUCUGUACCCCCCGCUGGAUUCUGAGCUUGCUGAGGGCAGGGGUGUCGGUAUGGACCCCAGACCUUGCUGUGUUCCUGUCACUUGCUAA
rnacentral:lncRNA from 1 species